GACUUCUGGUUUAAUGCACCUGGCCCGCGGCCCACAAGGCCUGUGAGUGCCGGCGCGCGUUUACCAUCCUUCCAGCAACGGCUACCCUUAACUGGGCGGCUGGAACUGGAUCUUUUACUUUGAAAAAAUUAGAGUGUUUAAAGCAAUAAUAAUCUAGGACUUCGGUUCUAUUUUGUUGGUUUCUAUAACUGAAGUAAUGAUUGAUAGGGAUAGUUGGGGGUGCUAGUAUUGGCCGGUCAGAGGUGAAAUUCUUGGAUUCGGUCAAGACUAACUUAUGCGAAAGCAUU
rnacentral:rRNA from 1 species